rnacentral:lncRNA from 1 species
UUUCACGGAGGGGAUAGCAAGGAAAAUUUGUUGUGGUGUUCGGUGCGGUGAAAAAUAGCUGAUCUUCGCGGUCCGUUCUUCCUCUGAACUCUGUUUAACAAAGCGAUACGAGAUAAACGAGAGUUUCAAUGUAUUCAAAGUGUGCUUUCGGUGAAGCUCGUAAAUUGAUUUACGAAUAAACACGACGAAAUUAUUGCAAUUUACUGUUACGUUGCUGUUAACUCUUUGCAAAUCGAUUAUGUUUUUUUGGAGUGGUAAAAAUUAAAAUUAACGUUGAUAAAUUUAAGGAACCUCCAAAAGAUACUUAAUAGUUAUUAAGUAAAGCUAUCGCGUUAAAUUUGGAGAUUUCUGAAUUUUUAAUUUUGAAAAUAAGAUCGAGGUUAAAGGUGUGUAGGAAACAUCCAUAGAAAUUCUAAGCUGCAUUUCAAUAUAAAUGUAUUGACGUUGAACAUCAUUUGACAAUGAAGGUUCUCAAAAUAUCACAUUCGCACCUCGUUCUGUUUAAAAUAAAUUUUCCAUUGAAAUUUAAAUACAACCUUUUUUACCAAAAUAGAAGACCAUGACACUGCAUCAUGUCAGAUAUUUAGAAUAUUAGUACAUAAUCAGCCAUUUUGUUUUAAAAAUAUCAGAGGAGCAUUUAUGCAGUCAUUUUUAAUGAAGAUUAAGCUGUAAGUUGAUAUGGCAUAAGUGUUAUUUUGUGAUACUUUUAUGUCAUCAAAUCAGGUGAGAAGUUUUAUUCUUAAAAAUUGACAAUUUAGCAGAUGUUUCACUACAAUUCAAUUGGCAGACUUUUUUUUAAGGAGUAUUAAUGAAAUUUUGUUGUAGACAUUUUUAUUAAGUCUUGGACUCAAAGUUGAUGGUUCAUGGUCGCCAUUUUGUGUUACUUUUAUGUCAUCAAAUUAUGUGUGACUGUAUUUAGAAAUUAGUUAUUUGUUCUGUAGAGUCAGCCAUUUUGUUUGAAGAAUAAUAUAAUAGUCACUUUAGCUAUUUUCCUCAAAUAUUAGGGUUUAGACUGACAGCCAACAGGCGCCAUUUUGUGUUACUUUUAUGUCAUCAAAUAAUGUCUGACUGUAUUUAGAAAUCAGCUAUUUGUUCUGCAGAGUCAGCCACUUUGUUUGAAGAUUAAUAUAACAAUUAUUUUAGCCUGAAGAUUAAUAUAGUAAUUAUUUUAUUGUUUUAAAAUAGCUAUUUUCCUCAGAUAUUGAGCUUCAAAUUGACACUCAACAAUCGCCAUUUUGUGUUACUUUUAUGUCAUCAAAUAAUGUCUGACUGUAUUUAAAAAUUAGCUAAUUGUUCAAUACAGUCAGCCAUUUAAUUCACAGAUUAAUAAUAUAACAACUUAGUUAUUUUCCUCAAAUACUAAGUUUCAAACUAAUACUCAACACUUUAUUUCCAUGUCAUCAAAAUAAUUUCACCCGCAACUGAAAGGUUAAGUCAGACCACUUCCAUGAAACUACAUAUAUUUCUUCCGAAGCAAAUCAUGAUAACAUCAUAUGGCAACAGUGACGUAUAUCUGUCCAACGUGAUGCAACUUUCCUGCGAUAUCUAUACAUACAGAGUUACUUGUCAAUCGCUUUUUUUGGCCAACGCAAUCUGCUUUAUAAAAGAAGAGAGAAAAAAAGAAGUGAUCUCGUGUAAUGUUUUCAGGGUGUGACAACACGUAACCAUAGAACAGCAUGAUACAAUGUCACUGACACAGCAGAACACGAGAUACACUCGAAUGGCCUCGUUUGGAUUAUCAGCGCUAACUGGACCACGUGGCAAAUAAAAAGCUUCAAGGCUGCAUCGAAUUAAACAUUCUCCACCAUACACUCAUUUAUCGGGCAUGUGUGUUCUGACCGCGAGAUUUUCUACCGACAACCGCCCGUGAAAAUGUGAACCAGAUAUUCAACAUAUUUUCUUAUGUAAAUAUUUUCUUACGUUUCUACCUUCUGCACACGUGUUUCAAUUUCUCUUUAUCUGCAUGAUACGUUAUCGUGUAAGUUCGAGUAAAAACAUUGAUAGUAAUAUCAAGAUGCAACUUAUUCCAAAUGAAUACAUUGUUAACUGUUUAUCUUUUGUAUGUUUACAUAUUUUAAGUUUUUUACAGGUUACAAUCAUGUUACAUAUUCGAAAUAUUUUAGCAUGUUAGAUAUUUUAAAUAUUUUCGU